rnacentral:tRNA from 679 species
UCCCCGGUAGCUCAGUGGUAGAGCAACCGGCUGUUAACCGGUUGGUCGCUGGUUCGAAUCCGGCCCGGGGAGCCA